GCUACCUAUAUUGGCAUUUCUCUGCAUACAUAUUGACUGUUUUAGGAAGAAGAACAUCCAGAUUAGGAUAUCUUCAAAGAUAUUUAUUCAAUUUAUAUUGGGAAUUGAUUGGUUGCCUUAAGUGAGAUGAUAAUGACUGUAAAAGAUAAUUGUGAUGUGGCAAAAGCAAUGUAGGUCUGAGAUAUUGGAUAUUUCCUUCAGAGUGACCCAGCAGUUCUCCUGUGUAUCAGGUUAUGUAUGAAUCUGUCAAUUGCACUAAGUAGUUUACAUUUGUCUUUAUCUGCAGAUGAUUGGUUGUACAGAAGAGGAAGCAUAAUUGUUUAACUGAAUAAAUGGAAUAUUUGUACUUGGAAUUACAGGUCAGUAGGUUUUCUUUUUAUGGAUCAUAGUUAUAUAAGAUCACAAAAAUUUAAGUUGAGUAAAAUUGUGAAUGGAAAUGGGGAAUGUGUCAAAGAAACAACAACCUGACCAAACGGAAUAAAAAAAAAAAAAAAAAAAACAUCAAUAAGUUUUCAACACAGUGAAAACAUCCCUUACCCAAAGGCAUGCUUCAGCUAGCCCCUAAACAAAAAUGUGUUUUUGAGUAUAAAAGUCAUGUCUUAUCACUGUACGUCAUAAAGAGUUUGAUUAGAAAUUUUUUGUCAAAUUAUUUCUGGGCUUAUAUGAGAGGGAACAAUUGUAUAUUUGGUCUGCAGCUUCAUAUUGCUGAAGCGUAACGGUUAAGCAAUUUUGAUAUCUGCCUUGCAGCUGCUUUCUAUUUGCUGAUGAUUAUAAAUUUUACAGCACUCUUUGUGAAAGAAAAACUUUGGUCACACUUUUUUUGGCCUCUAUAAAAGGGAAUUAUUUCAUAUUUGAUUUUCAGCUCCAUAAUGAUGAAUUCUAGAAUUAAAGCAAUUACCAUACAGCCACUUCCUAUUUGCCUAUAAAUUAAAAUUUUACAAACUCAUUGUUUACAGAAAAUUCUCGUCAAUAUUUCUUAGCUUUAAUGAUCAGUAAUGCUUCAAUAUACAUGUAUGUACAUGUCACUUCAAUUAAUUGCAUGCAGUGACACAUACACGGUGGGUAUGGUUGUCCUGCGAGAGAACGUACUGUGCUGGUGAUUCGGUCCUGACGGGUGCUGGUGAUCAAUGAAAAAAUGUAAACAAAGACGAAAAUGAUGAUUUUUGACGUUUUCACUCAUAAAAAAUGGAAGAAAAAAGUUGAGAUUUUUCAAUUUCGUUUCUUAUGGGUUCAUAUAUAAACCAUUAAAAAAUUGACCCUCUAAUCUGUUUCAGUAAGCGUAACACAAAAAUGCUCAUUUUCAGAAAAUCUCAAACUGAAAAAAUAAAACAAAAAUGCUCAUUGAGUCCGCUUUCGAUACCGCAAUCCACACGACAAAACAAUUUUGUGAAAAAACAUUGCAAUUUAUUAAAAUUUAGCCUUUUCUCAAUUUAUUCAUGUCCUGAUACUGUGCUGGUGGGUCCUGUCAUUGUGCUGGUGGGUCCUGAUACGGUGCUGGUGAUUUUGGAUAAGAAGCUGGUCAUAUUUGAAACAAAUGUUACAAAAUCAAUAAAGUUAGCCAGAUAAUUGUUGCCAACAGGAUCUAUAACUCCUAUUUUAGGUCUUGUGCAUCCAUUUGGCUGUUUAAUAUGUGUUUUCAAAUGAUCUGAACUUGUAUUACAUAAUAACAUAAAAGGGCAACAUCUUUCGUCCAAUAUCAGAUAACAAUAUAUAGUAUCUAAAAUAAGUUAAAAAUUCCACAAUACUAUAUAAUUCAUUUUAUGUGUCGAUUUGUUCGAAAAAAGUCGAAAAGAAGAGACUUUUUUUAAUGUCAUGAUUAUCUGUCGCUUUCUAGAUCUAUGCUUAGCAUUCAUUGCAGAUGACAUGGACUCCUCACCCUGAUGACCCUGCUGCCUUUCAUAACUUUAUCCGUAUACAUAUAUUAAUAGAUAAACAUAAGGCUGCAACACGUAUUUUUGUAUUUAAAAUGAUUCGUUGUAACGAGAAUAUUUGUGGUGAAUGGAAACUGUGAGGGUCACAAUCUUAAAUUGCUUAUAAAUGUUGCUAGACCCAGUUUCGUUAUCUGAUCUGAAUUUUCUAAAAUGUGCAAGGUAGAUAGACAUUUUGAUUUUUUUUUUUACUCGGUAAUGAACCAUUGUGUUGAUCCCAUGCUAAACAUGACAAAAAUCUCUGUACAAAGGUCUGUGAAUUCUCUACAAAAAUAGUGAUUUUAUUUUCACUAAAUUCUCUUUUUCUACUAAAUACAAUAAUGAACCAUAAAUAUAUAUAAUAAUGCUUUGCAAGAAGUUUCCCCUCGAUAUAUGUACAAAAUUCUAUCUCUAUUAUUCAUUGUCUGUACUGUUUUGAUACUAUUGCAGUUUGCACAUUUCGGAAUUAACAGGCCACAGGAGGGGUCAUAAACCGUACACGAAAAGAUAAAAUAUUGAUAUAAGAACUUAAUUUGCAUCUUUGAACCCCCACUCCGGCUUGUUUUUUUAGAAGCCUGUGGUGUAUGGGAACAAAAAUGUUUGAUAUAUCUGGCUUUAGAUUCAGGUUUUUUUUUAAAUAUAAAUUAAGGCUACAUUAUAAUAUAAUAAUUCUAUGAAUUCACAAUAUAAAAAAAUGCAGAAAAAAAAAUGAAUGAAGUGAAAAAUCUUCGUAAGGAGUCAUUACUACAGAGAUGGUGUGUUUGACACACAAAACUUAAAAGCUUAGUGAUAUUUCCAAUAUUAAAAUAAAAGUGUAUUUAGUUGGGUAUUUUUUCAUUUACCCUCAUUUUCAAUUAUAAUCAAGGCACAUUUUAUUCAUGAAAAAUAUUUAAAUAUAGAAAAGAAGGACACAUUGUUCACUUCCUCCCCCGUAAUUCUUUAUCAAAAAUAUUUAUUUUGAAAUGAAAAAGCUAAGAAAUCUUAAUUUUGUUAGUGUUCUCUAGGUUAUCUCGUGACGUCUUCAUUCUCUGACAUAUUCUAGCCUGCCCUUUCAAAAAAUAGUGAUUUUUUUAGUGUUCUAUCGAACUUUCGAAAAGAAAAAAAAAUACCUGAUAACCUUUUAGACAAAAAAAAAAUAUGUUGAAAAAUCUAACAGCAAGUGAUUCUUAACAGCUAUUAAGAUACAUUUUUCUUUUACAAUACAACUUUUAAAUCUUACGGGAAACUAUUACAAGCUUACUUGUAUACCUCGUCUAACUUAUCCCCAUCCCCCGACCCCCCCCCCCCCCAAAAAAAAAAAAAAAAAACCCAAACAAACAAACCCGCAAUACUAAUUGUCAUUCUUAUAUCAGCACUCAAUUGUUCACAAACAAAUGGUUUUAAGCUGCUAAAGACAUGAUUCAAACGCCCAGAAAGUCCUUUGUUCUAUAUUUUUGCUCUCCAUUUUUAGGUAAAACCUUUUACAUUUUUGUCGAGCCUUCGACUUUAGUCGAAAAAGCGAGACUAAGCGAUCCUACAUUCCGUCGUCGUCGGCGUCGUCGUCGUCGGCGGCGUCCACAAAUAUUCACUCUGUGGUUAAAGUUUUUGAAAUUUUAAUAACUUUUUUAAACUAUACUGAAUUUCUACCAAACUUGGACUAAGCUUGUUUUAUGAUCAUAGAAAGUAUCCAGAAGUAAAUUUUGUAAAAAUAAAAUUCCAUUUUUUCCGUAUUUAACUUAUAAAAAGGACUUAGUUUUUCUGCGAGGAAACAUUACAUUCACUCUGUGGUUAAAGUUUUAAAAUUUUAAUAACUUUCAUAAACUAUCCUUGAUUUGUACCAAACUUGGACAGAAGCUUGUUUAUGAUCAUAAGAUAGUAUCAAGAAGAAAAUUUUGUAAAAAUAAAUUUCCACUUUUCCUUAUUUUACUUAUAAAUGGACUUAGUUUUUCUGCGAGGAAACAUUACAUUCACUCUGUGGUUAAAGUUUUUAAAAUUUUAAUAACUUUCAUAAACUAUCCUUGAUUUGUACCAAACUUGACAGAAGCUUGUUUAUGAUCAUAAGAUAGUAUCAAGAAGAAAAUUUUGUAAAAAUAAAUAUCCACUUUUCCUUAUUUUACUUAUAAAUGGACUUAAUUUUUUUGUCAGAAACAAAACAUUCACUCUGUGGUUUAAGUUUUUAAAAUUUGUAUAAUGGUCUUAAACUAUCCUGGAUUUCUACCAAACUUAGACAAAAGCUUGUUUCUGAUCAUAAAAUAUUAUUCAGAAGUAAAUUUUGUAAAAAAAAAUUCACUUUUUCCGUAUUUUACUUAUAAAUGGACUUAGUUUUUCUUCCAGUUAACAUUACAUACAGUCUGCAGUUAAAGUUUAUCAAACAUUUAUUAGAUUCAUAAACUAUCCUGGAUUUUUUUACCAAACUUAGAAGCUUCUUUCAAUCAAAAGACAGUAUCGAGAGGGAAAUUUUUAGUGAUGUUUUCCUCAUUUUUGUUGAGUCUGCGAUUAACAGCAAAAGUAGGCGAGACACUGGGUUCCGUGGAACCCUUAUGAAUUUUUAUUUUAUGGGUUAUUGUUGAAGGUCGUACGAUGACGUAUGGUUGUUAACACAUACUUCCUUUGGUUUCUUAUGGAAAUUUGUCCAUUGACAAUAAACAUACCACAUCAUCUACUUUAUAUAAGUAUUGUAAAAACUACAACGUAUUUUGGUGAUCUUGCAAAAUGAUCGUAAUCCCGUAAAUCGUAAACAUAUUUUCUUAUCUUAAAAGGGGACAAGAAGGGUUCCAUUAACAGGCCAAUAAAUAAGAUUACAGUUAAUUAAAAAAAAAAAAAUAAAAAAAAAAAAAUAGGGGUAUUUUUUCUCUCAUAAUAACAGUAAACAGAUUCACAACAAUGUCAAUUUCAAGAAAGCAGACAACAGCUAAUUUGUCAAUAACAGUACAGCAUCAAUGAUCUUGAAUAUAUGCCACGUUUAACUAAAAUAUAAAAGCACAGAACCAGGACAUAGGAGCACAGAACCAGGACCAUUUUUCUUAUCACCAGCACAGCGUCAGGACAAUUCCGUUUAACGAACUUGCACGACUUUUGCAAUAUAAUAUUGUUGUAAUUAUACUUUGCAUGGUACUUAUGACACAUCAGAGAAAAAUUUAGCAACAAAACAGUCGUUUUAUUGCCGUUUUGAUACAAUGUAAACAAACCCACCAGCACAGAAUCAGGACCCACCAGCACCCGUCAGGACCAAAUCACCAGCACAGUACGUUCUCUCGCAGGACAACCAUACCCACCGUGACAUAGGUCUAGAUCUGGUAUUGGUAUUUUUAUAUUAUACUUAUAUAUUUAUAAAAGUAAAAUGUCAAUGAAAAAUGCAAGUAUGAAUAUAAAAAAGAAAAUAAGAAAAUGCAAAUAUAAGAUAAGCUUACAUUAUUUUUUACUAGUUUAACUCUUCACAGAAAAUAUUCAUGAUAAACUGCAUCCAUAAUUUAAAAAAUGAGUUUUUUUUUUUAGUGUUAUGUAAUAGACAUACUAUAAGCAGGCUUGGAAUAAUGUAAACGAUGUAGAUACAUGUACACCAAAAUAUUUGCAUUCUCCCCUCUUUUAUUUUCCAUGUUAAAUUUCAUUUCAGACAUAAAUCCUAAUAUGUGAACGAUUUAGUUGACAGUUAGUUAGAUUUAGAAUACUACUUCCAAGUAAUCCAAGAAUAAACAUGGAGAACAUAAAAACAUUAACAUCUUUGAUCUUCAUUUGGACAUUGUGUUUCUCUAUGUGUGUUUGUAAUACUGGAGGAGGAGUUAACCACCAACCCAAGCACAACACAGAUAAUAGUAGUACAAAAAGUAACAAUACACCUCACGAUGACAACAACACAGAUCACCAUGGUCAUAUUCAUGGUGUAGAAAUAGCUGAAUGGAAAUUUGAUGAGUUACGAGAGCCUUUCAUUUUUACUAUUGUUGUUUUAUUAGCUGGACUCAGCAAAAUUGGUAAGUAACCUUAGAAAGA
rnacentral:lncRNA from 1 species